ensembl:ncRNA lncRNA:CR43656 long non-coding RNA:CR43656
AAACGACAAAAUCUUAAAGUACUGGCACCCAACCGACCUAGGUUGCACGAAGGAUUAUUGCGGACAUCACUCAUUAUCAACACGUCGGUGUCGCUUCAAACGACUAGGACAGCCCCAUCUCCCCAAAGGUGAAGCAUUCCGGCAGCGAUCACCCUAGAUCGUCGACUGCUUUGAAAUGGUCAAAAUUAGUUGAUUUUCUUUCAGAUUAUAUUUCAGAAAGCUGACGAUUCUUUAAAAGUGUACCAAAUACCAAUUACUUUUGGUAUGCGGGAUCAGUUUCGCUAAGCCAAUUGGAAUGAAGCACACGCUUUGGGGCUGACAGACUUUACAGUUGGUCAAAGUUGGAUAUAAUUCUGAAAAAAUCAACGACACAAAGGCUCACACGUUACAUAAAUGCUUAAAUCAGCUCGAACAAGAGUGAACAAGAAAAAUCAUCUGGCCCACUGGCCCACCGACGACAAUUCAGACUCGCGAUUGACACCGGAUUUAGUGACAAAUUCAGCACCAGCGGUUGACGGCCGUUGAAAUAAUUGUGGCAGUCGACGUCUUCAGAGUGUCCAGGGAAUCUACGGGAGUCAAGGGAGGUUGCCCUGGAAGACUCCUAAUCCGAGCAGAUUCUGACUCCUUAGUGUAGUGGACAAGCAAGUUACCAAAAUACAGAUGAAUUUUCGACGGCGAUGUAGACUGGCUUCACGAAAUAUUUAUGUAUUUUCCUGUCUUCCAAUGCAAUAUUGCCGGGGGCCCUAUUUCGUCAUAUUUCUAAUCCCCUCCCGAUUUGGGUCAUUGGACAUAAUCCGGGCCAUUUGAGAGUAAUCCCGGAGUGAACCGGGAUAAUUCAAACGGCCAGAUCGCUCAACAGGAUUCCCAAAGGGGGCCACUCAAAAUCAUCACCCUAUCGCUGUAUCUAUCGAUAAGGCCUUAUCAUCGACUCCAACUGCAACAUACUAAUACUUUUUGGAAUACUUAAGCCAUAAUCUUUUUUUUUUAAUGCUAUUUCUUGCUGUUAGGGUAUGUUUUCUUAUACCCGUUAAUCGUAGAGUAAAAGUAUACAAGGUAUACAAGAUUCGUUGAAAAGUAUGUAACAGGCAGAAGGAAGCCAUAUAUAUUCCUAUCAGGAUCCCGAACCGAGUCGAUCUGACCUAGUCCGUCCGUCUAUCCGUCCGUAUGGACGUCGAGAUCCUAUGAACACAAAAGAUAGAAAGAUUCAUUAAUGCGUGAUUAAGCAUGCACCAAUGCACCAAUGCACAAAGUCUCUACGCUAACGCCCACAAACCGCCAAGAAUUUUAAAAAAGGUUUUAAUAUUUUUUCAGCUAAUUUUAUUUUCUGCUUUUCGUUUGUCAUUUUUUGGCUUGCCAAUUUCUAUCGGUCAUCGAUGUACC